CUUAUCAAAUAACCAUGAAAACAAAAAUGAUUAUUUUAAGUAAUUGCCAGCUAUUGUUAACGAAAAAGGGAACCUUGUCUUAAGGCGGGCAUUGCUGGCCUUCAUUUAAACUAAAACUGUGACUUUUCCUUUUAUUUACUGUAAGUGGGAAGCUCGUUUCUUAUUUACUGCUGCCAUAUAGACGAGCAGAAAAAAGAGGGAAGCUAUUGUGUAUGUAUGAGUGAGAUAUGUACAUGCUCCAGGCGCAUGACCCAUUCCUGAACCCACACAAAACACAGCCAGCUUUGGAUACGAAGGAUACACGAACUCUCGCACUCCGACUAAACUAAUGCCAUCCUCGUCUAACCUCGUAUCGCUCUGUGGAAUGUCCUAAGGUGGAGCAGAAGCCAUGACUGCGGCCAUGACAGCGAUAAUGUAUACAAGCCAAGCGGAAGACGGGUAUAGCUAUACAGCGGGAAGUGGGAUGGAGAGAGAGGGAGGGAGGGAGCGACAUUUGUAGGGUUGCCGUUGCUACGGUCCCACCCACCCGGACCAGACCCAACCAAAUGCUUGCUGUCUGUUGUUGUCUGCAGCUUGCUCUCUCUCACACUCGCGCACUCACUCACUCACUUUCUUUUCUUAUUGCCUGCUUCUGCUUUGUGGGUAUUAAGUUUUGAGCUUAAUACUAAAGAUAAACGUCUCUUACUAACAGCA